rnacentral:lncRNA from 1 species
CCAAAAUACAUGAAAAGCCCUUCUGUAAAGCAACUGAUGUCUUCAACCUACUAUGAAACGGAGAUGAAUAACUCAGCUUGAUGAAGGAACCCUCAUGUCCACUUCCUGGCCUUGACGAAGGUAAAGAAAGAGACAUGUCCUAUGCUGACCUUUUGGAUAACAGAGCAUGGCAAAUUGGAGUCUUCCAUUAAGCACACGGAAUACAUGUGCUGUAUUGCUUUCUUUGCAAGGUUCAGAGUCAGAAUUCCUGCCCUGGGUUCUGAGUUGCUGAGUGGAGACGAUGAUGGAGAGCAGUGGAGACACGUGAUUUUCAGGGUACUCUUUGCAUGCAUGAAAUGGAGCAAGACUUAUGAAGGGAAAAUGAAAGAGGAGGAUAGGAAGAUACGUCACCUCCUGGGUUUCCUCCAAUCAUCCAGUCCUCAUCUCUCUGUAUGUCUUUGAACACUCUGAGCGCCAUCAUGCCAAUUCCAUGGAUGAAACAAAUACCCAUGACUCAACAUUUUUCUAAUGAAAACACAUGCGGUCUGAC